ensembl:lncRNA
AAAAUGCAGUGAGUGCUGUAUUAGGUGUUAGGGUUGCGGGUGCAGGCAGGCAGGUAGGUAGGACCCCGAUGCAGACGGGUAAAGAAGACGGCACUUUAUUUCUGCCAAAAGGCUAAGGAAAGGAGCAAGGGAACACAUGUGACAACUGAGAACACGCAGGACGAACUAACCACAAUGACAGCACGAGGAACAAAGGAAAGACAAGGGCUUAAGUAACAAACACAAGACACGCAACGAGGAACAGCUGAGACACAUUAGGGGAGGGAGCAGUAAUCAACACAGGAGGGAAACAUACCAAAACACGACACAGACCAUGACAGUACCCCCCUUAAGGGUCGACUACCAGGUGACCCACAACAAGCAAAACCAAAACACGAAGAAAGUCAAACCCAAAUAGGGUGGGUGGAGGGGAGCCAGGAAGAGGGAAUCCAAAAAAAUAAUAAUGGACUGGGGCAGAGCGGAGGGGUGUCUGGCGGGCGGCCAGAAAACUGCCCCAGGGCAUGGCAGGGAGCCUCAGGCGGACGGCCUGGGGGGCAAGCAGAGGCAGAGUGAAGGCGGAACCCUUCAGGAGGCCGGCAGCAAGGACAAUGAGGGCUCAGUCCCUCAUGAGGCCUGCACCGGCAAAGAAACCCCUCUGAAGACCGGCAGCGGCGAAGGCGGAACCCUUCAGGAGGCCGGCGAAGGCGAGGUAGAGGGCGGGUCCCCAGAGGAGGAAGGAGAGGUAGAGGGCGGAUCCCCUCUGGAGGAAGGCCAGGUAGAGGGCGGGUCCCCUCUGGAGGAAGGCCAGGUAGAGGGCGGGUCCCCUCUGGAGGAAGGCCAGGUAGAGGGCGGGUCCCCUCUGGAGGAAGGCCAGGUAGAGGGCGGGUCCCCUCUGGAGGAAGGCCAGGUAGAGGGCGGACCCCCUCUGGAACACGGGACCCCUCAGGAAGGCAAGGUAGAGGGCUGGUCCCCUCUGGAGGAAGGCGAGGUAGAGGGCGGACCCCCUCUGGAAGGCGGGACCCCACAGGCAGGAGCGGAGGGCGGGCCCCCUCCGGCAGGAGAGGAGUGGGCUCAGGAACCGGACAGGGUUCAGGGACCAGAGUCAGUGCGGGAGCUGGAGUGCCAGGAGGAACCGGGUGGUACCCCAAACUCACCACCCCCACUCUGAUUGUCCGUAAGGGAGGAGGCUGGUAGCUGGGAACCGGGGGCAGAGGCUGGUAGCUGGGAACCGGGGGCAGAGGCAGGUAGCUGGGGAUCAGAGGCUGAGAGCAGGAGCAUGGAGGCUUAGGCCGGUCACCAAAGUCCGGUGGCAGUGGCAUGUAGCUCUCCGGCCAAAAGGUUGUGGGGUUGAGCAGCUCGACUGCCCACUCGGGUAAGGCGUCCUCCAACUCUGUGCUUGACGCAACAGCCCUGCACAUACGCCCCAACACAGCCUCCUGCUCCUUCCUGCUGGGAAUGUUCUCCCAGCCAUCCAUAGCUAGGAUUAUCGUCACCAACAAAUCCUCCAACUCACGGAAAAACAGAGCGUCCGCUGGGUCCAAACGAGGUGCUGUCAUUCUGUUAGGGUUGCCGGUGCAGGCAGGCAGGUAG